ensembl:lncRNA
GUGCGCGUGCUCUUGUUUUGCUUCUGCGGGGGCGCGGGUGGCCCAGUUCUUCGCGUCUCGGCUCCGCUGGCUGCCUGAGCGGCUGGCCCGGCAGGUGCCGAGGAUCCUCCCCGGACCCCGAGUCUUCCAGUUCCAAAACUCGCGGGGGCUGGGCCAGAGACCCUGGGCCUCCAACUGUCAGCGGGGGGUCCCCGUCAGGACUGCCACCUCACAGACUGUAGUGCUGUGCCGGGAGGAAGAGCGGCAGAGUUCGUCUUGGGAGGGAGAGUGGAAGGAUGUAGUGUUCCCAGUACCUGGCCCACAGCUGUGUUCAUGUAAAUGCAUAAGGAGAGAAACCUCAGACACCCUCUCAUGUGGCCCCAGACGGGAGUAUCAGAUGGCCUGGCUUCUGCUAAGACCCUUAUUAUUUGUGCCACUCGUUCUCUACUUGCCGGGCCCACCAGGCUGUGUGGUGCCUUGAACAUGCUGAGCAAGGAGGCCAAUGAACUCCCAAUGUUCUGGAAAGAGGUUUCAGAUUCACAAGCCUGUCUAUGAGAACUGAGACCCAAAGGUAGGGAUGGAGGUGCCCCAUCUCUGAGACCUGGGAUUUGUGGGCAUCCCUGAAGCCCACCACUUGCCCCAGGGCCAAAUGGAACACAAAACAGGGGCGAAAGACAUAGCAGAACGCGACCAUGGAGGAACUCUCCAUGAGAAUCCACUGGACCGUGCUGUGCAGCCAGGACAAGUGACAGUGUGGUCCUGCUGCCCUGGCGUGUAUUCUCUGCCCGAGACUCACUCUCCUCACUGCUGGAUAUGUGCUUGGAACAUCCUUCUGGAACUGCCCCUGCCCCCAGCUCUACACCUGCUGAUUCGGCCAGUGAUUGGUCAGGCCAUGGAGAGCUCCACUUACACAUCUGUACAUGGGGAUAACAAUCAUCUCAGCCACGUGGGAAAUAAUGUGUGCUCCUCUGCUCAUGGACACAUAGCCAGCGAUUCUAAUCCUUACUAAUGUUAUCCUUCUUGUGCCAAAUUUGGGAAUAAGCAAAUGGUGAAUAAAGUCAGUCAGAUCUGUGA